rnacentral:rRNA from 1 species
AUUGAACGCUGGCGGCAUGCCUUACGCAUGCAAGUCGAACGGCAGCACGGGUGCUUGCACCUGGUGGCGAGUGGCGAACGGGUGAGUAAUACAUCGGAACGUACCUUAUCGUGGGGGAUAACGCAGCGAAAGUUGCGCUAAUACCGCAUACGCCCUGAGGGGGAAAGCGGGGGACCGUAAGGCCUCGCGCGAUUAGAGCGGCCGAUGUCUGAUUAGCUUGUUGGUGAGGUAAAAGCUCACCAAGGCGAUGAUCAGUAGCUGGUCUGAGAGGACGAUCAGCCACACUGGGACUGAGACACGGCCCAGACUCCUACGGGAGGCAGCAGUGGGGAAUUUUGGACAAUGGGGGCAACCCUGAUCCAGCAAUGCCGCGUGAGUGAAGAAGGCCUUCGGGUUGUAAAGCUCUUUUGUCAGGGAAGAAACAGCAGCUCUAACACAGUCUGCGAAUGACGGUACCUGAAGAAUAAGCACCGGCUAACUACGUG